rnacentral:tRNA from 1 species
GCGGGUAUGAUGGAAUUGGCAGACAUGCGAGAUUUAGGUUCUCGUGCCGCAAGGCGUGCAGGUUCGACCCCUGUUACCCGCACCA